rnacentral:rRNA from 1 species
CUACGGGGCGCAGCAGUGGGGAAUCUUGGACAAUGGGCGAAAGCCUGAUCCAGCAAUGCCGCGUGCGUGAAGAAGGCCUUCGGGUUGUAAAGCGCUUUUGUCUGGGAGCAAAUCCUGGCCUCUAAUACAGGUCGGGGAUGAGAGUACCAGAAGAAUAAGGACCGGCUAACUACGUGCCAGCAGCCGCGGUAAUACGUAGGGUCCAAGCGUUAAUCGGAAUUACUGGGCGUAAAGCGUCCGCAGGUGGCUUGAUAAGAUAGAGGUGAAAUCCCUGGGCUCAACCUAGGAAUUGCCUUUAUGACUGUCUCGCUAGAGUAUGGGAGAGGGGGGUGGAAUUCCACGUGUAGCAGUGAAAUGCGUAGAGAUGUGGAGGAACACCGAUGGCGAAGGCAACCCCCUGGCCUAAUACUGACACUCAUGGACGUAAGCGUGGGGAGCAAACAGGAUUAGAUACCCGAGUAGUC